UCAUAUGCUUGUCUUAAAGAUUAAGCCAUGCAUGUCUAAGUAUAAGCUUUUAUACGGCUAAACUGCGAAUGGCUCAUUAAAACAGUUAUAGUUUAUUUGAUGGUCUUUACUACAUGGAUAACCGUGGUAAUUCUAUGGCUAAUACAUGCGCACAUGCCUCUUCCCCUGGAAGGGCAGUGUUUAUUAGAUACAGAACCAACCCACCUUCCGGUGGUCCUCAGGUGAUUCAUAGUAACCGAACGGAUCGCGUUGACUUCGGUCUGCGACGGAUCAUUCAAGUUUCUGACCUAUCAGCUUUCGACGGUACUGUAUUGGACUACCGUGGCAGUGACGGGUAACGGGGAAUUAGGGUUCGAUUCCGGAGAGGGAGCCUGAGAAACGGCUACCACAUCUAAGGAAGGCAGCAGGCGCGCAAAUUACCCAAUCCUGAUUCAGGGAGGUAGUGACAAGAAAUAACAACACUGGAAAUUUCAUUUCUAGUGAUUGGAAUGAUAGGAAUCCAAACCCCUUUCAGAGUAACAAUUGGAGGGCAAGUCUGGUGCCAGCAGCCGCGGUAAUUCCAGCUCCAAUAGCGUAUAUUAAAGUUGUUGCAGUUAAAAAGCUCGUAGUUGGAUUUCUGCUGGAAGCAGCCAGUCCGCCCUCAGGGGUGUGCACUUGGUGAAUUCUAGCAUCCUUCUGGAUUUCUCCACACUUCAUUGUGUGGAGUUUUUUCCAGGACUUUUACUUUGAGAAAAUUAGAGUGUUUCAAGCAUGCUUGUCGCCUUGAAUACUGCAGCAUGUAAUAAUAUGAUAGGAUUUCGGCCCUAUUCUGUCGGUUUCUAGGACUGAAGUAAUGAUUAAUAGGGACGGUUGGGGGCAUUCGUAUUUAACUGUCAGAGGUGAAAUUCUUAGAUUUGUUAAAG
rnacentral:rRNA from 1 species